GUGAAUCACCCCUUCAUUGUGAAGCUUCAUUAUGCCUUUCAGACAGAAGGAAAGCUCUACCUGAUCCUGGACUUCCUGCGGGGAGGGGACCUCUUCACCCGGCUCUCCAAAGAGGUCAUGUUCACCGAGGAGGAUGUCAAGUUCUACCUGGCUGAGCUGGCCUUGGCUUUAGAUCAUCUCCACAGCCUGGGGAUCAUCUACAGAGAUCUGAAGCCCGAGAACAUCCUCCUGGAUGAAGAGGGACAUAUUAAGAUCACAGAUUUCGGCCUGAGUAAGGAGGCCAUUGACCACGACAAGAGAGCGUACUCCUUCUGCGGGACGAUCGAGUACAUGGCGCCCGAGGUGGUGAACCGGCGAGGACACACGCAGAGUGCCGACUGGUGGUCCUUCGGCGUGCUCAUGUUCGAGAUGCUCACGGGGUCCCUGCCGUUCCAGGGGAAGGACAGGAAGGAGACCAUGGCUCUCAUCCUCAAAGCCAAGCUGGGGAUGCCGCAGUUCCUCAGUGGGGAGGCACAGAGUUUGCUGCGAGCUCUCUUCAAACGGAACCCUUGCAACCGGCUGGGUGAGAAAACGGCCCUCUUCCCCCAUGUGAGUUGCUCAAGGCUCCUUGGCUUUUGAGUCUAAGACUAGCGUUUCUCCCACCUCCACAUCCCCUGAAGAUAAAAUGUCUUCAUUC
rnacentral:sRNA from 1 species